CUCUUCACCAGGGGCUCCCAGUCCUUCCAUCUGGGAGGCCAAGGCGGCUUCGCGUUCUGAGAAUAGACAGAACCUCUGUUACUCUGUGACCGGCAGGCACCGGGAGAUCCGUAGCUCAGACGCCAGGACAUCCCGGAAGCUGGGAAAUGAUAUCUUUUCUCAUGAUACUCAAGGCCUCUUAAGAAAGAAGCUUAUAGAAGCAUCAUUCCAAAAAGUGAUAUUGGAUGGAUAUGGGAGCUGUGGCCCUCAGAAUUUAAACUUAAGGAAAGAGUGGGAAAGUGAGGGCAAAAUAAUCCUAUGGUGAAAAAAAUCAACAAGAUAAUCUCUGCUUGAGAAAAAGGACCAAAGACAAGUGAAUUUUCUGAGGGUGAUGAAAGUGUUGCUUCGAAAAGGGGUGAAGUUUAUAUGGGUCUAUUUAUUUGUCUAACAUGUACAGUUAAGGUUUAUGCCUUGCAAUGUAUGUACAUCUUCACAAAAAAAA
rnacentral:lncRNA from 10 species